CAUGCUAGACGAGUUUGAUCAUGGUUCAGAACGAACGCUGGCGGCAGGCCUAACACAUGCAAGUCGAGCGAGGACUUCGGUCCUAGCGGCGGACGGGUGAGUAACGCGUGGGAACGUGCCCUUUGGUACGGAAUAGCCCCGGGAAACUGGGAGUAAUACCGUAUGGUGUCUUCGGACUAAAGAUUUAUCGCCAAAGGAUCGGCCCGCGUUGGAUUAGGUAGUUGGUGGGGUAAUGGCCUACCAAGCCGACGAUCCAUAGCUGGUUUGAGAGGAUGAUCAGCCACACUGGGACUGAGACACGGCCCAGACUCCUACGGGAGGCAGCAGUGGGGAAUCUUAGACAAUGGGGGCAACCCUGAUCUAGCCAUGCCGCGUGAGUGACGAAGGCCUUAGGGUUGUAAAGCUCUUUUGGCGGGGACGAUAAUGACGGUACCCGCAGAAUAAGCCCCGGCUAACUUCGUG
rnacentral:rRNA from 1 species